UUUUUAUUUGCUCCUUGCGGUUCACUGGAAUCGUUUGAAUCGAACUAUUGGAAAAACAUCCCACCAAAAACAUCUUUGGGAUCUUUACAAUUUCAGCUCUGGCUACUUCCCUCUACUUCAGUGGAGGAAUGGCCAAAAAGACCAUGUAUUUCAUUGCAGUGUUUGGGAAGACUGUUUGGAAUAAGCAUUUGUGAUGAGGGGACAUAAAUAAUAGCAAUCUGUGGCCUGCACUACUUGUCAGUUCAAUGUCAUGCCUAUUCAGGCCUUAGCAUGCACCUGAUAUUUCCAUUUUCACUCUCACCUUUCCUUGUCAGUGGUUUGGUCUCCUCUGGGACUACACCAAAUUCAGCCAACUCAGUGACUUCACAUUUAAAAGUCUCUAUCAUUUUUUCUAGAAGUGUUUUUUUAUCCUCCAUGAUCUGGCUGUGAGCCAUUCACACAGGUAAAAUAUGAUAGUCUGAGGGCUCCAGUCUUCCCUUCUCACAGCUGGAGGUGUUUGUGGCAGAUGUGAUUUGAGGACUUGUCCAAGGAGUCCAGGCUGCAUUGCCAAAACUUUCUAUCAAUAUGAACAACUACCACAGAAUUCAGAAUUAAGGCUGUAUGUAUUUCCAUAUACAUACAUAAAACAAGCCCUCAUGCAGCUGAGAUAAGAGAUAGGGUUGUUUACUAUAGCACAAAUUUAAGGGGAUGAAAUAUCCAUGAAAGCUGUUUUGGUCUAGCCAUUGGUUGAAAUGGACGUGGUGCAUUGACUGUUCAGCAAGAGGCUGAUCAUGUACCUACACUUGAGAGGUUUAAGACUCAGUGCUUCAAAGAACUUCCCCUAUAGACUGGUUAAUAAUAAUUUAAGAGACAUAACUGUGCAUUUUAAUUUGCCUGCCUUCAUCUGCUGUAUUGUGGUUUUAGAGCACUGUAUAUGACAAACCUUCCAGGAAUCUCAAACACUAAUUGAAGUUCCACUGAAUCACUUAAAGCAGCUGAAAAACACCAUCAGAGAGGCCACACAACUGCAUGGAAUGUGAUGAAUUUCCAGGAAUAGGAUUGUUUCCUGGAGAUUAUUGUGUAAAAUACAAGUACAAAGAAGGAACAAAGGUAAUGCUGACAAUGUCUACAUUGCUAGGCUAUUUUAGUUUGUGAAAAAAAGAAUGAAGAAAAUAGACAAGCUGUAAGACCUUUGCUAGGCUAACAGGAAGCCUAGAUGUCAAGAGCAGGCUCUGAAACAAAGCAGUUCAAAAUUAUCUCAGCAUAAAAUACAACUUUUCCAUGAUUUUAUCUUACAAAACCAGAUCCACUUUUAGCUUGAAUGGAUUCCUAAUGGAAAAGUUAAGAGCUCUAUGCCAUGCUUUCAUCCUGCAGUAAUAAAAGAAUGACUAUGUAAAAGGCAAUAAUCAUAUAGAAGAAGGUAAAGUCUGCAGUUCUGAGGAGAAAGGAGAGCAGUGUAUUUGGGGAACACAAGCAACAGGAAAUCUGACCAUUCAUUUUCAUUAAGAAAUCAAUUCCGCUGACUAGGACCUACUCUGAAGCAGAGGUUAUGCAGAGAACUUUCAGAAGAAAGUACCACAUAGCAUGUGCAAAAAUUUGGCCUCUGUAUGUAACAAAAGCAAUCCUUCCAGGAGAGCUUCUUUCUCUUUUCCUUCAAAGAGACUCUGCUCCAGCAUUCUGAAGGAAGUCUUAUUUAAAGAGCUUCACCCAAACUGCCAGCAGGACACAGUCAGUGGUGUCUGUGAGCCCGAGUGUGACAGGGAAGGUGCAGACCAGCCCAGAGCUGUGCCAUGGAUGCACCACACCAUGCAGGAUGAAUGGGGAUCGUGUGACUGCCCAGGGCCACGCUCAGUGCUGCUUUAGCUUACCCAUGCAGACAUUUCUGCACAGCUGCAGAAAUAUCUGCAGGGAGGGAAGGAGGGAGGAGAGGGCAGCAGAGCCACCUCCCUCAGCAGAACCAUCAGCUUGUGCCAGCUCGUGCUAUUCAUGGAAUUUCAGCUCAGCCCUUACAACAGCACUGUAUGCCAGAUAGAUAGACCUCCUCCAGGCUUACACUGGGAAAACAUGCAGCAGUGCCAGCCUACCAAAAGUGAUGCACCAGCUUUCAACAGAGAACGGGAAGGGAAUUUUUUUGCCCUGCACCUGUAUUUUGCCAUUACCUCCACAGCAUGUCAGUGGUGUAGCCUUUAGUCCGUGCAUCACAGUACAACUCCCCCACAAAAGGCAUCACUGUGCAGAGGUACUGGGCUAGUCCUGAGGAGCUGGGAGAGCUGCGUGGCACAGCCCACAGCCCUUUGCUUACAGCCCAGAAAUAGCCAAGCUGCAUUAGCUGAAAAGGAAGACAGCAAUACAGGCAAGCCCAUCCAGAAUGGAGAGCAGUCUGCAUUCCCUCUUCCGGCAUGUUUCUUAACAACUGAGGAGAGAACGCCUACAGGAUUAAAAAAAAAAAAGUUGUCAAUUACUGUUCCUUUUUCUUCCAGUCUAACAAAUAAAACCACACUACUGGCUCAAGUUCUUUGAAUUUGACAAGAACAUUAAGUCAUUAUGAAAAAACAGAAAGACAGGAAAUGAUGAGCAACUUUCCAGCAGAAGCAACAGCAAUAAUGAAAACCUUGAUUAGUUAAAGCCUUGAUAAUUACACCCAGGAUCACCCAGGCAAUCUUGUUUUGUGCCUUUCAAUAGAUCCAUCUUUCUUUUGUCUCUCCCAUCUUCAAUGUUUAUGUUAGACUUUGCUGAUAAAGUUAAAAGCUGAAAAGAGGUUUUAUAUAUAUGCAUAUAUAUAUAUUUUAUAAAUAUACAUGCAUGUAUAAAUGCACACUUGAAACUCUGAUCCAUACUCUCACUGAAAGCAUUGCUUUCUUCACCUCUUUCAAACUUCAUUAAAUGUGGAAUGGCUGAAUUGACCCACAGGUUACUGUAUCUGUAGUAACAAAUACAGUUUCUGCAGAUUUCUUAGGAGGAAGACUAUUUAUAUCACAUUCCCAGAGGUAAUUAGGUAAAGCAUAAACAUUAGUGAUGCAAUCUCUGUCAUUCCUCUAGUAAAUACUGAAUUUGCUGGUUGACUUCAAACAAAUAUUCCAGAAAAGUCUCAGAUAUACAGAAGGUCCUUCAAGUUGAAUCAAGAGAGAUAACUGGCUACGUAGGGGAGGAAGAUAGUGUUUCCAAAGUGUUCCAGCCAAGAAAAAGCCUCAAAGAUUAAGUUAAAACACAAAAAAAAUCUGUAAAAGGGAGGUCACUUUUAAAUAACUCAAGUAUGAGGAAAUCUUCAGGGACACUGAUCUGUAGGCCAGGCUUCAUUCCUUAAGUUGUUUAUGAAAUGAUGCAGUAUUAGAUUUUUCCUCCUGGGUUUCAGUUUUCUCAGCUUCCAUCCAGUUAUGAAAUAGUUUGUCAGGCUUCAGACUGAUUGCAUGCGUCUCCAAGCUAGAAACAGUAAAAAUCAUCUUCAGAUAGGAAUGUAAAGACAGUACCUGUGUGUCUUGAAAAUCCUAGGGAUCCCCAAGAUGAAGCACACAUUGAACUGACAGGAGCCCCUGCUACACGCAUUAGCUGGAAUACCUACAACUCUGACACACAGCUAUGGCUCCAGACAAGCUCUACUGUUCUAUCGUCUUGGCUUUGCCACUGUUCCCCAAAGCACUCACCAAAAACUCCUUCAUGUGCAGAAAGGCAAAGGCCUUCAGAUUUUUAUUUUUUUUUUCCUCCUGGUACCUUUAAGAAGCUCUCACUGAGAAAUGACUAAUUCCUGUCCUUCAUCUUCUGUUCUCCUAAUUUGGAGAGUGGCAGGAUCAGGAAUAUGCCUGAAGAUUCAAAGCAUUUUUGAGUACAUUUUCCUACAAGCAACCUUCCUAUAAUGAUGUGGUAGUUGGUGCUGCAGCUGGAGAAGGUGAUGUUGACCUCUGGUGACUAGCCUGGGGAUACCUGGUGGCAUGAUCACAGUGAAAUGCUUCUGGGAGCAGCUAGCCAACAAUUUCACUGAAGCUGGAACAUGAGAACAGUCACCCUCUUCAUGAAAGUGAGCAAAGUGAGCAGUUACACAUCCCUUCCAUGGAAUAGAAACACCCAGCUGAAACAAAGACCCCCACAAAAGGCUGCCUUAUAGCCUUAAAUAUGCAUGCAGAGAGAUUUAACUAGAAGACAACUGCACAGUGACUGCAAACUCAAAAGAGAAAAUGCACCCAAAGUGAAAGACUGCUUUCUUCAGUCCACAGACAUAAUGAUGUAAUCGAGGAGAAAAUCAGAGGGUGAGGAGUCAGUUAGGAAAGCACCUUAGCUAGCAGCAAUAUAUUAAAUAGGUUUCUCAAAACACAGAAAUUAAGCAAAAAGUGACAAUUGGGAUCCAUUCUAAAUAAGCAAAAUAGCAGAGGAACACCCCAGCAAAACCACUGUUUUUUUGCUGACAUAUCACAAUAGACACAACAUUUCACCAGAUUGUAAUGAAAAAUAUUAUUAGACACCAAAAAAAUUGUCACCAGCAACCUAUAAAUUUGAUUUUUAAAUCUCAUGGAUUCUACAGAAUUAAACCAUUUCUUCAAUUACAUUUGAACAUUAUGUAGCUUAUGUUAUAUUGCACAUUCAUAAAAUAAAACCAGAAGACAAUACAUGAUGCCUUAGAAAGUUACUCAGAACUUAUCUACAGACUCAAAAUAACAAGUGUUUUAUUUUCCCAUUUAUUCAAAAGAAAUGAAGAAAAAAACGCUUUCCAGCAGAGCCAUUCAAGAUAUCUGAAGAAAUAAGAUACUCAAGAAAAGGAUAAACAACAAAAAAUGAUUUGAGGACUAGGAAGAAGAGUACAUUUUAACCUAGUGACAGCCUAAGCAAGGUAGUGACUUUAGUGCCCCACGGAGACAGAGAUUCCCAGAAAAAGGGAAAUUAGGUGAGCAGAGCUUGCUUCCAGGUUACUAAUCUGACAUGGAUUAGAAGUGGGAAGAAGAUGACCAGAAUUUAUAUUCCCUCCAGAAUUAAGCUCUUUCUCAAUGGAAAAGGACUUCUCAUUUCCCAAGAUGUUUUCAAUUUAAUACAACUUUUGUAAGAGCAACAUCAAUCUUAAUAACUCAGCUUACUUCUCAGCUUGAACUGAUUAGCAUCAAAACUGGGCAGACACAAAUGCACAUUCUGAAUUCAAAUCCAUACAUUAAAAUAAGGAAUUCCCUAGUGUUUUGCUGUUUGGGUAGUGCAUUUGCUCUGCACACAGUGAGGACAAACUGGCAUUGCAGCCCCCACAUAAGCUUUCCAUUCCUGGUUUCUAGUGUGUUGCCCCAUACUGCAGAAACUGGAACUCAAGGGUGUGUUUGCAGUCAGACCUCAAGGAGCUUAAUUUAUAAUUUGUAUUUAAUUCAUUUAAAUGCUUUUUUCAAGCGUUCUUUGCGAAGCUUUGCCGGUACCUGAAGCCUGCACGGCUGCCAGCCAGGCAAUAGCGCCGUCAGGGGGACAUGCAGGGUGCAGUGUCCUGAGGCCGUGGAAAGUACAUGCAGCAGAAAUGCCUCAUGCAAGUUCCUGGAGCAUUUCAAAGCUGAAAUAAAUGGACAUCUCAAUGGGAGAUUAAAACAAAACAAAACACCCCAAAACCAAAACACUGCACAGCUUUACAAAUGCUCGCUUUAGUUUCCUGGGCAAUACCUGAUAGUUUCUGAACACUUAACUAGUAGCUUAAUUUUUGAAUCUUUAAUUAUCAUACACACAUACCUUUUACAUUUGUGUAACUGUUCGUAAAUGACUGCAGUCCUUUUGUUAGCGUUCCUCAGCAUAUAUUCUCUCUCUCAACUGGAGAUGUUCUCAGGAUACAUCAUCAUUUUGGGGGGGAAAGGCAAAGAUGUGAUUUGACAAAUAUGUCAGGUCCCCAGCUGCACAGGAUGAAUUUUCCAUGCUUCACCGGCAAUCUGAUUCAGUAUCAGUAUAUUCAGCUUACACUAAAAGCUCUCUGAUUUUCUAGCAUAUUACUUUGGCUGAGAAAAAGUUAAGGUAAAUGCUACUCCCUCCUCACUGACCUAUGGACUUAAAUAAUUGCCAAAGAAGCCAUUGACUUAACUUGAUGAAGAUGGCAAAAGUACAGCUGUUAGCUAAACAACUGCUAAGGAUACAAGAAGAAAUCUGUUAAGAGGAGACUCAGACCUACAGACAAAGCUUUCCCUCCCAAAUAGUAUUUUUCCAGUACCAUUUGCCAGCUCAAUUCUUUCAACAUAUAGCAGGCACAGCCUCUAGAAUUACUGAGUUUGCCUCCCAAUCUGUAUGUUUCUUAUUCCAUGUUUUGUAGUUGGAUAUGGCCACUAUGUAGGUCACUGUGUAUUUCUAUCUACAGAUGACCAAAAGUGGCACAGCCACUGAAAUAAUCAGCCCUACUGUGCCCUUCCCAGCUCUUUCUCUCAUGCCAGCACAAGCCUGCAUUCUCUUACAUACCAGGUUGUAAUUUUGUCAUCAACGGUGGAUCCUAAGGGAGAGACAGCAACCACAGUGAUUUAGUAUCUCCCCGACCUCAGUACAGAAGCCAAAGGAAUGUUUACCUAGACACACAGGAGAUAAUUUUCUCUGUCAUCUAGAAGCUUUAGGGGACUCCUUUGCCCUAAGGAAUGAUUAUUAUGAUUAAAACUCACUUAGGGGUGGGCUGUUAAUGAGCAAAGGCAGUUGAAAUCAAAUGGCACACAGUUGAAGACAGAAAAUUGUGAAAAAUGCAAGAGGAAUUUUGCAACUCAAUGGAGCUCAAAGCAUUAUUAACCAUAGCAGACUUCUGCAGCACAGGUUUGUUAUUUUCUGUUAAAAACCCCAAACCAACCCAAAACAGAACAAAACAGCAGCUUUUUUCAGGGAAAAAAAAUUCCCAAACAUCAACUUGUACUCUGCUCCACUUCUGUUUUGAGUUUGUAGUGUCCUGGAGCAAUACUCCAAGGAAGCAAAUGACUGAGAUCUGAACUGAUUAGGCCUGAAGUCUUAAAAGACAAGUUGUCAUGCACUAUUUGCUACUUCACUGCUGACUCAAUAACAUUCAGCUCAUGUGCAUAUUCCACUUCCCCAUCUGCUCACUGCUUCAGCUUCCCUCUGACAGUUGUGCAUUUCCAGUAAAAACAUCUUUGAUAUAUUAAGAACUAAGUGCAGGGCAGCGUAAAACACGCACCACUUUUCAUCAAGGUAUCAGAAGCACUACUCUAUCGACUAUUAAUCUUUAUUUGUGAGCUUAACCUAUUAAAAGGUUCCAUUUAAAAAUAAUAAAUAGCUAUAUAUUGUAGCCUAUUGCAACCUGAAGCAUUAUGCAGAAUUUCAGUCUCUUCUGCUAUGGAAUAUGAGGCUCUGUUUGUAUCUUGGUGGAUCUGUGCAAAUCUAUGGCAAUGAAAAUCAACCUGUCUUUAUAAGGUGCUAGCAUUAUUAAAUCCGCCUUGCUAUAGGUGAAAGCAAGACUCAGUAAAUUUAAGAUUUUGUUCCAAAGUUUAUCAGUUUUAUCUGAAGCAAUGCAGGAAAGAAUACAUUAUCAGUUCAGACUGUUUAGUGGAUUUAUUUCUCAAGCCAGCAAAACGACACACAGUUGGCAUAAAAACAGAUUUAAACAAAAUAAGAUUCACAUGUACUUGCCUUUGACAUUGUUGCUUGUUUCUAGCUGUUUUUUGUAACAGAAAACUUACCUAUUUUCUUUUCAUGCAUAUGUCAUAAUUUAUAACCACAGAACAGAAAGAAAAUAAAUCUUUGUUUUACAAGAUCCUUUUACCGAGACAUCUUGAAGAACAAGUUGGAUAACUUGAAAGAGUCAUUUGGAAUAGUAUGAAUACCCUGAACUUCCACUGGCUUUGGGUGGGAGUCAAGUACACUCACUAAGCAGUUACUCAAAAACUCAGCACCUUACAGAAUCAAUCCCCUGCACAGCCCUCAAGUUACUUCAGCAGUUUUCUUUAAUGGAACACACUGCUUUGAAGGAAAAACUAUCAGUAGCUGUCAUCAGCCAGAUUAAGGAACUGAUUCAGCAGUGAAAAUUACUUGCUCUACAACAGCUGCUCUAGCUUUUCUCCCCUUUUCCCCUCUUGUAGUGUAGUUUUCGACCUACACUACACUCUGCUGCUUUGACACAGCCACUUUGUCCACCUCAUAAAAAGCAAUGCCAACUUUGGGUCACCUUAAUGCACAUUGAAAUACAAUUCAGCAACUGUUGCUGGAGAACCAGAAUCAUCGCCAAGUAGCAGAAAACUUCCUAUGGAGCACAGAAAUUACUGGCACUGCUCCAUAAUAGAGCACUAAUCUAGAUAAAACACAAGCAACCCAAGGAAAACAGAGUAUUGGGGAUUAAUGAGACCACAUAUUCACCAGUACUCAUGGGUUACACAUCAUGGAUGUGUAUUUCCCCUUCUGUCCUGAAAUUUUCAGGCAACCACUGUGGCCACAACAACUGAGCAUAUCUGUUAUCUGAUAACAAUUGUUCAAGACAUGCUAUUUACAAACUCCUGAAAAGUUGUUUUUAAAUCUAUCCUUAUACUUUCCAUCUCUUAAUAUUUUAUUUUAGAUAAACAUUUUUAGUAUAUUUGUGUGUCCUAAGCCUGUUUAAUACCAGAUCAGCAUUCAAUAUCUAUGUAUGUGCGUAUAUGUAGCUCUAUAUAUAUAUAUAUAUAUAGUAUAUAUAUUAUAAUCCAUGUAAAGAAGUCAUGCCCAUUUGGUUGUAGUAAUGUACUACAAUUUUUAAAAAACAAAAACCAAAGAGGCAGCCAAGGAUAAUUACUCUGCAAGCAAAUACAAAGUUGCACCCUAAGCAGUUACCAUAAAGGGGGGUACUGAUCUUUGUCCUGUUUUACUGGCUUUUGGUGCUUGCCAGACUCUACCAGACUAAUUCUGCUCAUUAAACCAGCAGAAAACUAGUACACUAAAAUGUUUUGCCAGGCUUUUGCAUAGAAUCAGCUCAGCAUAAGGUCCAGCAAAAGCUGAAACAAUGGUUAGACCAGAGGGCGAAAGCACAGAGGUCAGAGGAACCUCCCCAAUGAUGAUGAUUACCUUUAGCUAUCACUAGAAAACCUCACCCAACUGUCUCAUCACAAUUUUAUGCAUUUCUGCUACUGAGCAAGGCCAAUUCCAAAUGAUAAUCAAUUCACCAUACACUUGCAGGCUAGCUAUGUUUGCAAUGAAGAGUAAUGAGCUACAUUCCUUUUUCCUCUUUGCCAUCCAUAUAAUAGAAUCCUGAACCCUGACUUGAGGGAUUUUCAGGUUGCAUUGGCAGGGAGAUUGCACUGACUGACUUUUCUACAUACCUCCUGUUACAGUUUUCAUCCCUCCACACUUUCCAAAUACUUGCUUUACAACUUCUUUUGACAAGAGUAUUGGUUCUGCAAUAGAUAGAUAUGCAAGUAUGAGGAAGGGGAAAAGAAGUAACUUUUAUUCAGUGUAUUAUAAGUAACACUUAUAAACAGUAGCAGAAAAUACAGAAAUAGCAUUUUCAUAAGAGGAAGAAAGCAAUAGCAAGUAAUAAAUGUACCUGUUUAACAGCAGGCCUAUGAGCACUACAGACUGAUACCCCCCUGUGUUAAGCACCACGCUGCCAGACCCGCCUAUGGGCAGGUUAUACUGCCCAAGAAACACUUCCCAAGACCCUUGCUGAGCUAAGCAGUAAUAAUGAUCUCUCAGAUCUCUCCUGUUACUUGAAGCAAUUAUUCCUCUCCCCUCUCUCUGCAGGUAGACUAAUUUUCAUCCUCUUUUCUCCACAUCUCCAAGUGUUAAAUGCAUAUGACUUGCAUAUCCAUAUGAGCAGAAAGUCUUUUAGCUGGCUCCUACAAAGCAGAGUGCACAUUUGUACAAAGUAACAACAGAUUAUAGGUUAUUAGAAGUCAAAGAGUGAAUGAAUAUCACAUAAAUGGAGUAACAUAAAGAAGCAACAAGACAAAGAUGUAAUGGUUCCUUUAAUAAACGCACUGGACUGAGAUCAUGCCUGAACCCUUGCAGAUGCCAGUCCAGCCCCAGAGUGGGUCGCUACUGCCCCCUGCAUCACCUACGUGUCCUAGCAAUGGAGCAGAAAGAGUCUUCAUGUAACGCCAGGAUGGAGACUUCUCCAGACACAGGAAUUCCUGAAACAUUGCUGCAUCCUGCAAGCAUAUAGGACCACAGUAUCACUGCUUAUUUCUUCCCAUCAAUUACUAUUCCCUCUCCCUUGCCACAGCCUACAUUACUCGCUAUCAGGCUGGAGAUACACUGCAGUCUCUGCAAUCCCUCUGGGAAAUGCACUACUAUGUUUGCACAUUUCAGCAACUUGCCCACCCAACAAGGCCAAAUAAAGUGUGAGAUCUUGAUUAAAUCACAAUCUCCAGAAACAGUCAGAGUUCUGCAAAAUUCUUCCUAGAAACAAUCCACAGGAAGACAUGAACUGCCUCCUGCUUUCAGAACUUGCAGCCAUAUAUUUGCUCCCACAUUGUUUUCAUUAAUCCUGGCAUUUAUUGGGGUAGAAAAGGAAGACAGUUACUUAUUAGAAAUGGUUACGGAAUGAACUUCAGAUUACAGUCUUGAAGGUGAAAAAGCCACAUAACCAAGGAAGUAUGUUACCAUGAUGAAAAUCUACUGACUAAAAAAAUUAAGCUAUUAGAGUGACAAUAAGUUGCCAUGAAAACAAAAUACAAAAAUCUGUAGAAGCAUGAAAAAGUUAUAAAAAUCAUCACUUGCUUUAUUUUACUAACACUAUCUUCUCAAAACAGGUAAGCUGCAUAAAUUUUUAUUAGUUAUUUCAUUUCAUGUCCAAGAAGAAAGGGCCACAUUUCCGUAGAAGUUACUAGGAAGGUUCUUAUUUUGAAAAAUAAAAAGCUAGCACUUGAAUAUGUAACACUACUUGCAUGUCUGAGCUUUUUCCCUUGUUUAAAGAACAUGGAGUCAAACCCAGGCCUGCAGAAAAUGCCAUCAGGUAUCAUCUUGCAUUUCAAGAGAAACAAGAUGCUUGAGCUAACAUCACAUGCAGUACUUGAAAUACAUUCAUGAUUUACCAUGAGCAGCAUUAUUAAUGGCAGUUUAGCCACACAACAGCGGUACGUGCCAAGCUGAGGAAGAAACACUGCCAACCUGUUCUCCCAGUACAAUUCCAGUCUGCAUUUGAUACUUACCCAGCUGACAAAAAUUAAAGUGGGAGACUUGGAAAAGGUUCUGUAGCAACAAUUAAGAAGGAAGCUCUGUUCUAAGUCAACACAAGAACUUCUCUCCAAAUCCAGAAUAUGAAAACUGUUUUGAUGUGGACCAUAGCGUUCAUUUCCUACUGCCGUUCAUUAUCUUCACUUUCCUGUAGAACACAGACCUGCUACAACACAGCUGGACAGCUGGAAGCAAACUCCUGAGCUUUGCAUUAAAUGCAACAUCUCUUAUGAAAAAUAAAGAACAGUUCAUAGAAUUGUAAUGCAAACAAAAAUUUAAUCUUUAAACAAAAUGUUCAUGAUACGGAAGGUCACAAUACAAAGUUCUUAAACACAAUACAACACAAACAAGUUGAAAAGCCUUUUUUGAUUGGAAGUGAUUAUUUAUACAAAGACUAGAUGCCAACAAUAUUAUUGUACAAAGUUUGACAGUGGAUUCAUAAAUUGAUUCCCUGAAAAUUCCCUUGUUUUGAAGAAAUAGUGAAUAUUAAGGUAAUGGCUGAAGUGAAUUCAAGGAAUUUAGAGUUACAUUUGUUUCCAUCCUCAAUUCUAAGCACUUGGAUUAGGUUUCAUGGUACAAAAGGGAUAGUAAAGGCACACUGUGGUUUGAAAACAAGGCUAGAUAUCAUAGCCUUUACACUUUCCGGCUUUUGUCUGGGUGUUUUUUAAACAACCAAACAUGCAGCUAAAAGAAUCCAACCCUCCUGAGGGGGUGCAGAGUGAACAAAUUAAAGUCUGCAAAAAAUCUAACCCAUUUAGCCUAUAAAAUGAUAUUACUAUUAAUUAUGCAUUUGAGUGAUUCCUCAAAGCCUCUACCAUUUCAGAAAUGAAGUACCUUUCUCCAAGUUAUUUCUGUUACUUCACUCCUGACAGAACUAGUGUAAAAUGCACACUUAAGAUAAUUUUUCACCUUCAUCAGUUUGGCUGAUAAUGGAAAAGGACUGAUGCAUUCCUAAAAAGUUGAAGCUAUUGACCAAGUCAAUUAGUUGCUGAUUUAACCUUUUCAACACAGCUUCCUAAUUUAGAAAAAAGAUUUAAAGAAAAUACUCAUUUAAUCUGAUCUAAAUUAUUAGACUGCAAAUUCUGGCAUAAAGUGUUCUUGAAUGUUGAGUUAUGAAGUCCAGACAGGCCUAUGGCAAUUAUUAACACAAGUCUUGCCACAGGGGUGUAAAUCAAUGCAUUGUGGUUUAAUUACAUGUACCACAACUAGUUCUGUUGAUGAACCAUGUCAAUUUCUAUGGGACUGUUAUACAACUCAAAAUUAGUUAACAGAGUUUGGAGGAGUUACAUAUGGGCAUUAUGAAACACUGUUCCAGCAGCACUGGUCUGCACAUAAACACAACUAAUCAGUUUAAACUAAACAUUUAUAGAACUACAUAGAAAGCAAUAGUUUUACCACAUUUUGGUUCCCUGAGAAGAAAAGUGCUUCAACAACAAAGGUCUUUGGAAUGCCAUCAGUACAGAGGAUAAAAACGCACCUCUUGUACUGCUCCUGCAAAGGCAUCUACUUUCAUGUUGAUCAGACUUGUUUGGGCAAUUUCAUUCAAAAUAAACCUUACACUCCAUAAAACUGGCAGUAGAAUGGGUGCAAGAGAUGACUAAAAGUAGUCUACUACUAAAACUAGUUUUAUCUGUGAUGAUUUGCUAUUACAAACUGGAAUGCAGUUUGUUAGCACACUUCUUGAACACCAAGUUGUUAAGGGCACAGUUUUAUUUCAUCUGUUUAACCCAUAACUGAGAUUGAUUUUUGAAAGCUCUAUUAUGUCAAAGUUUUAAAAUGUGUUUUUGGAAAGCAUGCUAACCUCUUCUUUCCCCAGGGUCAUAACUUAUGUUUUUAGUGAACAU